rnacentral:rRNA from 1 species
GAUCCUGGCUCAGGAUGAACGCUGGCGGCGUGCCUAACACAUGCAAGUCGAACGGGGUCAUGACGCUGAGGAGACUUCGGUCAAAUCUUGUUGUAACUAGUGGCGGACGGGUGAGUAACGCGUGGAUAACCUGCCAUACACAGGGGGAUAACAGUUAGAAAUGACUGCUAAUACCGCAUAAGCGCACGAGGGGGCAUCCUCUUGUGUGAAAAGCGCAUACGGUGUAUGAUGGGUCCGCGUCCGAUUAGCCAGUUGGCGGGGUAAGAGCCCACCAAAGCGACGAUCGGUAGCCGGCCUGAGAGGGUGAACGGCCACAUUGGGACUGAGAGACGGCCCAAACUCCUACGGGAGGCAGCAGUGGGGGAUAUUGCACAAUGGGGGGAACCCUGAUGCAGCCGACGCCGCGUGAGUGAAGAAGUUAUUCGUAAUGUAAAGCUCUAUCAGCAGGGAAGAAGCAGACGGUACCUGACUAAGAAGCACCGGCUAAAUACGUGCCAGCCGCUGC